rnacentral:rRNA from 1 species
CGACGGAGUUGAAGUUUUCGGAUGGAGACAAAGAUGUAUGUUCUAGCGGCGGACGGGUGAGUAACGCGUGAGCAACCUGUCCUUCACAGGGGGAUAACACAGCGAAAGUUGUACUAAUACCGCAUGAGACCACGGAGAGACAUCUCUCAGGGGUCAAAGGAGCAAUCCGGUGAAGGGUGGGCUCGCGUCCGAUUAGAUAGUUGGUGAGGUAACGGCCCACCAAGUCAACGAUCGGUAGCCGACCUGAGAGGGUGAUCGGCCACAUUGGGACUGAGACACGGCCCAAACUCCUACGGGAGGCAGCAGUGGGGAAUAUUGGGCAAUGGGGGGAACCCUGACCCAGCAACGCCGCGUGAGGGAAGAAGGUUUUCGGAUCGUAAACCUCUGUCCUUGGUGAAGAGGAAGAGACGGUAGCCAAGGAGGAAGCCCCGGCUAACUACGUGCCAGCAGCCGCGGUAAUACGUAGGGGGCGAGCGUUGUCCGGAAUGACUGGGCGUAAAGGGCGUGUAGGCGGCUUUAUAAGUCUGGAGUGAAAGUCCUGCUUUCAAGGUGGGAAUUGCUUUGGAGACUGUAGAGCUUGAGUGCGGAAGAGGUAAGUGGAAUUCCCAGUGUAGCGGUGAAAUGCGUAGAGAUUGGGAGGAACACCAGUGGCGAAGGCGACUUACUGGGCCGUAACUGA